UACGUAGGGAGCGAGCGUUGUCCGAAGUUACUGGGCGUAAAGCGCGCGUAGGCGGGCUGUUAAGUGAGAGGUGAAAGGCUGGGGCUUAACCCCAUGCAGUGCCUCUCAUACUGGCGGUCUUGAGUGCGGCAGGGAGAAGUGGAAUGGCUGGUGUAGCGGUGAAAUGCGUAGAUAUCUGGAGGAACACCGGUGGCGAAGGCGGCAUCCUGGACCAAUACUGACGCUGAGGAGCGAAAGCCAGGGGAGCAAACGGG
rnacentral:rRNA from 1 species